rnacentral:rRNA from 1 species
UCGAGAAUUUUUCACAAUGGGCGCAAGCCUGAUGGAGCGACGCCGCGUGGGGGAUGAAGGGUUUCGAUCCGUAAACCCCUGUCAUUUGCGAACAAACCUUGAUUGUGAAUAGCGAUCGAGCUGAUAGUAGCGGAAGAGGAAGGGACGGCUAACUCUGUGCCAGCAGCCGCGGUAAUACAGAGGUCCCAAGCGUUGUUCGGAUUCACUGGGCGUAAAGGGUGCGUAGGUGGUCGGUGAAGUUCGGUGUGAAAGCUCGGAGCUCAACUCCGAAACGGCAUUGAAAACUCAUCGGCUGGAGGGUCGGAGGGGAGACUGGAAUUCUCGGUGUGGCAGUGAAAUGCGUAGAUAUCGAGAGGAACACCAGUGGCGAAGGCGAGUCUCUGGACGACUCCUGACACUGAGGCACGAAAGCCAGGGGAGCAAACAG